AGCACACCCCAACUCUCACUGGGCAGAAGGACAGCCUGGCUGGAAACUGACUGUCUCUUCUGUCCUCUCUCUUGCGCUCACGCCUCCUCCCUGAGCAGAAGCAGCCGUGGAAGAGCACGAGGAGGCGGUGGAAGAGGAGGCUGGAGGCGAGGCUGAGGCUGGGGAGCCCAGUGCCGCAGAAGACGGAGAAGAAGAGGAAGGUAGAGAGGCUGAAGGUG